rnacentral:rRNA from 1 species
GACGAACGCUGGCGGCGUGCCUAAUACAUGCAAGUAGAACGCUGAAGGAGGAGCUUGCUUCUCCGGAUGAGUUGCGAACGGGUGAGUAACGCGUAGGUAACCUGCCUGGUAGCGGGGGAUAACUAUUGGAAACGAUAGCUAAUACCGCAUAAGAGUAGAUGUCGCAUGACAUUUGCUUAAAAGGUGCAACUGCACCACUACCAGAUGGACCUGCGUUGUAUUAGCUAGUUGGUGAGGUAACGGCUCACCAAGGCAACGAUACAUAGCCGACCUGAGAGGGUGAUCGGCCACACUGGGACUGAGACACGGCCCAGACUCCUACGGGAGGCAGCAGUAGGGAAUCUUCGGCAAUGGACGGAAGUCUGACCGAGCAACGCCGCGUGAGUGAAGAAGGUUUUCGGGUCGUAAAGCUCUGUUGUAAGGGAAGAAAGAGUGUGUGGGUAGAAAGUUCACACUGUGACGGUAUCUUACCAGAAAGCGACGGCUAACUACGUG